rnacentral:rRNA from 1 species
UACAGAGGUGGCAAGCGUUGUUCGGAAUUACUGGGCGUAAAGGGCGCGUAGACGGCCUUCUAAGUCAGACGUGAAAUCCCCCGGCUUAACCUGGGAACUGCGUCUGAUACUGGAGGGCUUGAGUGCGGGAGAGGGAUGUGGAAUUCCAGGUGUAGCGGUGAAAUGCGUAGAUAUCUGGAGGAACACCGGUGGCGAAGGCGGCAUCCUGGACCGACACUGACGCUGAGGCGCGAAAGCUAGGGUAGCAAACGGG